GUACACACCGCCGUCACACCACGAGAGUUUGUAACACCCGAAGCCGGUGGAGUAACCUUUUAGGAGCUAGCCGUCGAAGGUGGGACAAAUGAUUGGGGUGAAGUCGUAACAAGGUAGCCGUAUCGGAAGGUGCGGCUGGAUCACCUCCUUUCUAAGGAUAUAUUCGGAAC
rnacentral:rRNA from 1 species